rnacentral:rRNA from 1 species
AGAGCGAACGCUGGCGGCAGGCUUAACACAUGCAAGUCGAACGAUCCUUCGGGAUAGUGGCGGACGGGUGAGUAACACGUGGGAACGUGCCUUUAGGUUCGGAACAACACAGGGAAACUUGUGCUAAUACCGGAUGUGCCCUUCGGGGGAAAGAUUUAUCGCCUUUAGAGCGGCCCGCGUCUGAUUAGCUUGUUGGUGGGGUAAAGGCCUACCAAGGCGACGAUCAGUAGCUGGUCUGAGAGGAUGGCCAGCCACAUUGGGACUGAGACACGGCCCAAACUCCUACGGGAGGCAGCAGUGGGGAAUCUUGCGCAAUGGGCGAAAGCCUGACGCAGCCAUGCCGCGUGGAUGAUGAAGGUCUUAGGGAUUGUAAAAUCCUUUCACCGGGGACGAUAAUAACGGUACCCGGAGAAGAAGCCCCGGCUAACUUCGCGCCAGCAGCCGC